rnacentral:misc_RNA from 1 species
CCAUGGCAUAGAUAAUUUCACAAGGAUUCCAAAAAGUCCUCAUUUAACUUUUUACGAUUUUUCUACGGUUUUCUAUGAAUUUUCAAACUUCAGCACAAAAUCUGAGAUAUAAAACCGAAAAAGGGAACAACAAACUUUCACCCAGGUCCCUGAAACAAACAUGCCUACACGUCCGCACAUAUGCCCUUUAAGCACUGUUCAUAAGAGUCACAAACCCUUCACUUACCCCCCUGCUGUUCUGGAAUUUGCAGAUUGGUCCAUCGUCUUCUUCCUUGGAACGUACAGGGGAAAGGGGAUCGGCCUUGCCUUGCCGGGGCUCGCCGGCGUCGGCCGAGCGCGGCGGGGCCAGCCGAGCCGUCCCUGGUGGAGGGCGCGCCCAGCCAAGGAGUUGGCUGGGCCGGCGGCAGCCCCAGGUGGCCUGUCCACGCGAGCCCGCGGUGGCAGCCUGCUGCGGCGAUGGCGCGGGCAUCGCCGGUCAUGGCUGCGCUCGAGGAAGGGUUCGAACGGAUCGACGUGGCGAGGGGAAGGUUACGGCAAACUCAAUUUAAGCAAUCGACUACUGAGGACAGGGAUUUGGAGGUAGCGGGGAGCUUCCGUCGUCCAUCCAUGGCGUUAGUGUGCUGCAGUAGAGGAACGAGGGAGCGAGGCGAGCGGAAUGUGGAGGCGAGUCCAAGGAAGCUCGGAGGGGUGCACGGCGUGCUUUUAAAAGCGAGGCACGAGCGGGCAUUGGCCGGGGAUUGGCUGUCCAUGGCGGUGGCCACUGCCACAC